GCCCUGCCAACUCUUUAUCCGCCGGAAGGAGGGCGCCGCAUUGGCGGUCUUCUCAUUGCCUGGCUGCUAGAGGCAACCCGAAGUCAGGGUUCUUUCUUUCCUGCUCUGAGAGGGACCAGGUCCCUCCUCUGUAGCUUUUGUCUCUCUAUUGCCUGCGCCGUGUCCUGGACUGCUCACGGGAGUUCUGCAGGAGACGCCGGAAUAUCUGGAAGCUGAAAAAUGGAAAUAAAUGGAAAGACCAGAAUAUUGAAGAUCACUACAGAAAUCUAAGGGUCAGGCAUGGUGGCUCACACCUGUAAUCCCAGCACUUUGGGAAGCAGAGACAGUUGGAUCACUUGAACCUGGGAGGCGUUCUGGAGGUCAGGAGUUCGAGACCAGCUUGGCCAACAUGGUGAAACCCUGUCUCUGCUAAAAAUACAAAAAUUAGCCGGGCAUCAUGGCACAUGCCUGUAAUCCCAGCUACUCUGGAGGCUGAAGCAGGAGAAUCGCUUGAACCUGGGAGGCAGAGGUUGCAGUGAGCCGAGAUCACGCCACUGCUUCUUGCUUUAAAAGAAGAGUAAAGACAAGAGUGUUGGACCACUAUUGCAGUUCUGUAGUAUCAUUUCUUAUAAAAAACAAAACAACAAUAAUUUAUCAAAAUUGGCAUAUAAAGACUGACAACAUUCUAAUAAAGGCACAAAUUUCUUUUUAAUACUUGUUUCAGGCUCUUUAAUCUCUUUAUAAGUUAACUAAUCUAUUUUCUUCAAACUUCUGCAUUAGUUCUUUAAAAUCACAACACUUAGCAAACUGACUUUUUUAAUGUGCUCAAUACAAAUACUUGUGAACUUUUAAUAUGUUGAGUGCUUUCAUUGUGAUAACUGGAUCUCCAUUUGAUAUUUUCAUUUGUAUAACUCAUUUGCAGUCUGAAAAUUUUUAGUGCCAGUCCCUGAAUAUAUCAUUGAAAGUUAAUUUUCUUUGCAUUUUAAAAUAUCUGGAUUAUGAAGAAAAAGUGAUGAAAAUAAAUUAAAACUGAAUUACCUUAAAAAAAAAAAAAAAAA